ACUAAUAUAUUUGAUAAAGGCAUCUUAUUAAUAUUAAAGCUUCGGCACUUGAUGAUGGGUGUGCGGCUGAUUAGAUAGUUGGCGGGGUAACGGGCCCACCAAGUCUACGAUCAGUAGCUGAUGUGAGAGCAUGAUCAGCCACACGGGUACUGAGACACGGGCCCGACUCCUACGGGAGGCAGCAGUAAGGAAUAUUGGACAAUGGACGAAAGUCUGAUCCAGCCAUGCCGCGUGAAGGAUUAAGGUCCUCUGGAUUGUAAACUUCUUUAUAUGGGACGAAAAAGGGCAUUCUUGUUCACUUGACGGUACCAUAUGAAUAAGCACCGGCUAACUCCGUG
rnacentral:rRNA from 1 species